AUUGAACGCUGGCGGCGGCUUAACACAUGCAAGUCGAGCGGGGUGAUGGUGCUUGCACUAUCACUUAGCGGCGGACGGGUGAGUAACGCUUAGGAAUCUGCCUAUUAGUGGGGGACAACAUCUCGAAAGGGAUGCUAAUACCGCAUACGUCCUACGGGAGAAAGCAGGGGAUCACUUGUGACCUUGCGCUAAUAGAUGAGCCUAAGUCGGAUUAGCUAGUUGGUGGGGUAAAGGCCUACCAAGGCGACGAUCUGUAGCGGGUCUGAGAGGAUGAUCCGCCACACUGGGACUGAGACACGGCCCAGACUCCUACGGGAGGCAGCAGUGGGGAAUAUUGGACAAUGGGGGGAACCCUGAUCCAGCCAUGCCGCGUGUGUGAAGAAGGCCUUAUGGUUGUAAAGCACUUUAAGCGAGGAGGAGGCUCUUUUGGUUAAUACCCAAGAUGAGUGGACGUUACUCGCAGAAUAAGCACCGGCUAACUCUGUGCCAGCCGCCGCAGUAA
rnacentral:rRNA from 1 species